GACGAACGCUGGCGGCGUGCUUAACACAUGCAAGUCGAACGAAGAGCGACGGAAGCUUGCUUCUAUCAAUCUUAGUGGCGAACGGGUGAGUAACGCGUAAUCAACCUGCCCUUCAGAGGGGGACAACAGUUGGAAACGACUGCUAAUACCGCAUACGAUCUAAUCUCGGCAUCGAGGAUAGAUGAAAGGUGGCCUCUACAUGUAAGCUAUCACUGAAGGAGGGGAUUGCGUCUGAUUAGCUAGUUGGAGGGGUAACGGCCCACCAAGGCGAUGAUCAGUAGCCGGUCUGAGAGGAUGAACGGCCACAUUGGGACUGAGACACGGCCCAGACUCCUACGGGAGGCAGCAGUGGGGAAUCUUCCGCAAUGGACGAAAGUCUGACGGAGCAACGCCGCGUGAGUGAUGACGGCCUCCGGGUUGUAAAGCUCUGUUAAUCGGGACGAAAGGCCUUCUUGCAAAUAGUGAGAAGGAUUGACGGUACCGGAUAGAAGCC
rnacentral:rRNA from 1 species